UGGCAAGACCCCACAACUGAAAUUUGUUGCAUCGUAUCUUCUUGCAGAGUGAGGAGCUAAAUUAAAGUACAUAGAGGAGUCUAAUCCAACAGUGAUACUGGAUACACGGAUGGUAGGAGUGAGAAGCACCUGGACAUCAGCACUUCACUUAUAAACAGCGACUCGCAUUUGUCCUUAGUAACCUGAAACAGUUCCCACUUCCUGUGGACUUCCUUCUGGAAUCUGGGGUUAGGAGAGAGCAUGCUGGUCUCCUAUUACGCUUUCAAUCUUUCCUCCACAAUAAGGUAAGUUUGCACUUCUGUUUUAAUAGUAUUUCUUUUAAAAUGUCACUUCUCUUUACCUCCUGUGAGACAGCGCACAAGUAAGCUUCAUACCAAAUCUCUAAGCUCACUGAAAUAUGUUUUUUUCUGAAAUCUACUGCUAUUAUUUUGUUAUUUCUCCAUCCCAUCAUAUGAACUGUGCAUUACAAUGUAUGUUAGAUGCCUCUCACUAAUGUUACCUUCUGCCUGCACAUUCUCAGUAAGUUUCUCCUGACUGGUUACAAUCAAAGAAGAGCGUCCUGUAGCUAUUUCCUUCACCUUCAGCAUCAGAACCUUACUGAUGCUUUUAAAACUUGCUGGAUAAUCUGUGUCCUGCUGUGUUCCUUCCCAAGCAGACACUGGUGCUGUCGGAAUCCUUAUUACAGGUAGAUCCUAUGCUCUGUAUGAUCCUGCCAGAUAGUUACUCACAAAGCUCUCCUCCCACGUGGUUUGACAGCACCCACAGCACGCAGCCUCCGACACCAUCCAUCUGCUUUUCAGCUUUGCUUGCCCCCAGGAUGCCCAGCACGUCUGUCGCAACCUCUGUCUGCUCUUGACCUUGGCGCAAGCCCAUGCAUCGCUGGUAUACAAACGUGACACUUUUUCCUGUUUCCCCAGGUCUGUGCUUCCUGAACAAGCUAUACUAUUUCAUGUGAUUUGCUCAGACUGCUCCUCAGAGCUGCCAGCACUGUCUGUUUAGCCCCCAGAUGCAACAACAGAAGCAGAGGGGCCCAGGAACAUGCUGCCAUUUGAUACCCGUCUCCCCAGUUGUCGCUCCUUUUGUUCCACCCUUCCUACAGCCUGGCCUGCACUAUACCCUUUGGCACUGGGCCUGCCACAGCCUUCCUGAAUGC